GCUCUCCUAGCUCAGUGGUAGAGCGUGGGAUUGCAGAACCCUGCGAUUGCAGACUCCUGCGAUUAUCCUAAGGUCACUUGUUCGAACCAGGUGGGGAGCU
rnacentral:tRNA from 1 species